rnacentral:rRNA from 1 species
GAUGAACGCUGGCGGCGUGCUUAACACAUGCAAGUCGAACGAGAAGUGAAGACGGAAACCUUCGGGCGGAAGGCUUUAUUUCGAGUGGCGGACGGGUGAGUAACGCGUGGGUAACCUGCCUCAUACAGGGGGAUAACAGUUGGAAACGACUGUUAAUACCGCAUAAGACCACAGCACCGCAUGGUGCGGGGGUAAAAACUCCGGUGGUAUGAGAUGGACCCGCGUUCGAUUAGCCAGUUGGCGGGGUAACGGCCCACCAAAGCGACGAUCGAUAGCCGAUCUGAGAGGAUGACCGGCCACAUUGGGACUGAGACACGGCCCAAACUCCAACGGGAGGCAGCAGUGGGGAAUAUUGCACAAUGGGGGAAACCCUGAUGCAGCGACGCCGCGUGAGUGAAGAAGUAUUUCGGUAUGUAAAGCUCUAUCAGCAGGGAAGAAAAUGACGGUACCUGAGUAAGAAGCCCCGGCUAACUACGUG